AUCAAUAAAAAUUUUGUGGACAGAAUGGCCACACUUAAUUAAAUCCUCACAUACAUAAACUUCUUUCAUUAAUCCAGUUCACAUCAGCUUUGGCCAGAAGUGAACCAGAUCAAUAAAAUUUCAUGGUCAAAAUGCCCGCCAAUCAGCUUUGGCCAGAAUGACAGACACAAGCCAUGCUUAAUUCGAGAACUGUGAGGUUAAUUUUGCAGCGAUUUUUUUUUAUGACAUAAUGAUAGCAAUAAUCAUCAUAAUAAUGUCAAGACAUAAAAAUGCCUUGAAACAAUUAAUCACGGCAUAAAAUUAUUUCAGAAACACUUAAGCAUCAAAUAAUAAUGCCAUGAUAAUCAUAAUAAUAAAAUGCCUUAAGGGGAAAAGAAGGCAUUAUUCAUAAUUGGGCAUGGCAUCUAAUUGCAUGAUUAAUAAUAAAACAUUAAGGAAUUACCUUAACAUUAAUAAGCAUAAUGUGCCAUGCAAAAUUUGGCCCUUUAAUACUUAUUUACUUUAGCCCAAUCUUUAUUAUGCAGCCCACUAUUACUUAAUAAAAGAGAGGGAAAACUUAAUUUGGGAAAAACUUCCGGACUGGGCCGAAAUUGGUCCAGCCCAUUUAACACCCGCAUCACUAAAGGCCAUUAGAUGCCGAUCCAAUGGCUGAGGACGACACGAGCGUGGAACAAAACCACCGCCCGGCCGCCUCUCCUCCCCGAAACCCUAGCUCAUAUUGUUCCCCUCCUCUUUCGCUCCUCUCCCGUGGCGGCGACGAGCUAGUGCGAGCGCCUGCCGCAGCGGAAGAAGAUGGCGGCGCCGUCUAGUCCCACUCGACGGAAUCAUGUGCGGCUUUAGCUUGCGCAUGGCUCCGUCGAGCGGCUUUCGGCGGCGCCCUUUGCAAGGUGACGGCGUGCGAGCGGGCGUUCCGCGUCGACGAUAGCCUCCCCUUGCCAGUCCAGCAAAGCGGCGUGUUCCCGACGACAAGCGUCAGAGGAAACGAGACGCCGGCCGGAGCAGCGGACGGCGAAGCCACUCGGGUGCGAACCCGAGCAUGCUCACAAGCAUGAGAUGGUGGCGACGGCGACGUCGCACGACGACGACAGGCACCGGAGCCCUAAGGAUAAGAAGAUUCUGAAGGUAUAUAAACCUGAUGGUUCCAUGGACAGUAAUGCCGAAACUGUUGUUGGGUGGCAUCAGAAGCUGCAGUAGCUGAUGAGGAAGCCCCUUUGAUUCCUUCGUUAUGCCUGUCUCUAACUAUAUUUGGAUGGUGAUUCUCUGUUUCACUAAUGUCUACUAACUAGGAUAAGAAGAUUCUGAAGGUAUACAAACCUGAUAGUUCCAUGGACAGUAAUGAUGAAACUGUUGUUGGGCUGGCAUUAGACGCUGCAGUAGUUGAUGCGGAAGCCCCUUUGAUUCCUUCGCCACACCUGUCUCUAACUAUAAUUGAAGUGUGAUUCUCUGAUUCACUAAUGUCUACUAAUUAGGGUAAGAAGUUUCUGAUGGUUCCAUGGACAGUAAUGAUUGAACUGUUGUGGGCUGGCUUCAGAAGCUGCACUAGUUGACGAGGAAGCCCAUUUGAUUCCUUCAUCACGCCUCUUGUAUGUUACCCGGACACAAACAAGGUGGUGGUUUUGAAUAGCAGAUGACAAUGAUUUUCAAAAGUUUUGAGUUGGUUUAGGUACCAAAUUUCGUCCCAGAUUGACCAUCCUAUCUUAUCCUCCUGAAGAGCUUGAAAGAGAUGCAUAUAUGCUGAUAAACUACGAAAAGGAACUUCUUUAGAAGCUCUGUUGAUUGCUUUUGUACUCACCUUUUCUACACGACUUUUUUGCAUGGAAAGCUUGUUUCAUGAGACACUUUGAGGUGAAAUAGACAAAGUUGCAGUGAUAGAAUGAUUACUUUUUAUCUGUAAUUUGGAUAUUCAGGUAGUCUGUUAGAUAUACGCUAUAUCUUGAUCCAGUAUACGAAAAUGCUCUCAGAUCA